rnacentral:SRP_RNA from 1 species
GCUGGGCAUGGUGGUGCAUGCCUGUAGUCCUAGCACUUUGGGAGGCUGAGGCAGGAGGAUUGCUUGAGCUCAGGAGUUCAAGGCUGCAGGUGGCAGUGAGCUAUGAUCAUGCCGCUGCACUCCAGCCUGGGCUACAGAGUAAGACCCCAUCUCAA